UACGGGGGAUGCAAGCGUUAUCCGGAAUCAUUGGGCGUAAAGCGCCUGUAGGUUGUUUAAUAAGUCUGUUGUUAAAGCCUAGGGCUUAACCCUAGAAAAGCAAUGGAAACUACUAGACUAGAGUAUGGCAGGGGUAGAGGGAAUUUCUAGUGUAGCGGUGAAAUGCGUAGAUAUUAGAAAGAACACCGGUGGCGAAAGCGCUCUACUGGACCAUUACUGACACUCAGAGGCGAAAGCUAGGGUAGCAAAUGGGAUUAGAUACCCCAGUAGUCCUAGCCGUAAACGAUGGAUACUAAACAUUGCGUGCUCGCCGUGGUGUUAUAGCUAACGCGUUAAGUAUCCCGCCUGGGGAGUAUGCUCGCAAGGGUG
rnacentral:rRNA from 1 species